UUUGCAAGUGUCAGAAAGGUCAAUCUACAAGCUUGGGGAACACUCCCAAGGCUCGAACAGUGAGUGCCUCAACCUCAGGCGGCCUGCGACAGAGCCGAGCCCGGCCGCAUAGGGUGCCUCGGGUGGCACCGGCGGGGUACAGAGGCUCGCGCUCCGGGACCCGCUAGGCGAGGGCCCGGACUGCGAGGAGCUGAUGAGCGCCAGGCCCCCACCACCACCCCCGCCCUCCCCGUCCGGCCGCUCCUCCCCUGGGUGGGUCCCCGCGCCUUUUCUGGCGGGGUCUAUUUGCAUAGAAGGAACUGCCCGCAGUGGCCGCUGAGUCUGAGCGGGCGGCUAGGGGGGCGUGCGCGAUCCGCGGCCACCCGGACGCGGAGCCCCGCAGCCGCCGACCUGGAGCCGCCCCGGGCCGCAGCGCCGACGCAGAGCCGGCGGGUCGCCAUGGGCGCGGGCGAGCGCGCGGCGGGCGGAGGAGGCGCGCAGGACCCCGGAGCGGGCUGCGGGUCGCGGGCGCUGAGCGCGCUGUGCCUGCUGCUGUCGGUGGGCUCUGCGGCCGCCUGUCUCCUGUUGGGAGCCCAGGCGGCCGCCCUGCAUGGCCGAGUGGCGGCGCUGGAGCAGGAGCGCGAGCUGUUGCGGCAUGCGGGGCCGUCCGGAGCCCUGGCCGCCUGGGCCGAAACGCACCUGGAGCGCCUGUUACGGGAGAAGUUGGAUGGAGUCGCCAAGCUCAGGACAGUUCGAGAAGCCCCAUCUGAGUGCAUCUGUCCCCCUGGUCCCCCUGGACGGCGUGGCAAGCCUGGACGAAGAGGCGACCCUGGUCCUCCAGGGCAAUCAGGACGAGAUGGCUACCCGGGACCUCUAGGUCUGGACGGCAAGCCCGGACUUCCAGGCCCCAAAGGGGAAAAGGGUACACCGGGAGACUUUGGCCCGCGGGGAGCCCAAGGGCAAGAUGGAGUUGCAGGACCACCGGGGCCUCCUGGACCACCUGGGGCCCGGGGCCCUCCUGGUGACACUGGGAAAGAUGGCCCCCGAGGAGCGCAAGGCCCAGCGGGUCCCAGAGGAGAGCCCGGACAAGAUGGCGAGAUGGGCCCCAAAGGACCUCCAGGACCCAAGGGAGAACCUGGCAUUCCUGGGAAGAAGGGGGAUGAUGGGAUGGCCAACCAGCCAGGACUCCCUGGACCCCCAGGGCCCAAGGGUGAGCCAGGGGAUGUGGGGCCCCGAGGAGAGAAUGGAGUGGACGGCAUUCCUGGACUAAAGGGGGAGCCCGGUCACCCAGGCGUGGAUGGAGCCACAGGGCCCCGGGGUGCCCCGGGCCUCAAGGGAGAACAAGGUGACACAGUGGUAAUCGACUAUGACGGCAGGAUCUUAGAUGCCCUAAAGGGUCCCCCUGGACCACAGGGAGCUCCUGGGCCACCAGGGAUCCCUGGAGCCAAGGGUGAACUCGGAUUGCCUGGUGCUCCAGGAAUCGAUGGAGAGAAGGGUCCCAAAGGACCAAAAGGAGACCCGGGAGAGCCUGGACCAGCUGGGCCCAAAGGGGAAACAGGAGAGAUGGGCCUGUCAGGUCUUCCGGGUGCUGAUGGUCCCAAGGGAGAAAAGGGAGAGUCGGCGUCUGACCAUCUACAAGAGAGCCUGGCCCAGAUCAUAGUGGAACCAGGGCCCCCUGGUCCUCCUGGUCCCCCUGGCCCCAUGGGCCUUCAGGGGAUCCAAGGUCCCAAGGGCCUGGAUGGAGCCAAGGGAGAAAAGGGUACAUCGGGUGAGAGAGGCCCUCACGGCCUGCCUGGACCAGUUGGCCCACCAGGCCUUAUUGGGUUGCCAGGAACCAAAGGAGAGAAGGGCAGACCUGGAGAACCAGGACUCGAUGGGUUCCCUGGACCCAGGGGAGAGAAGGGUGACCGAAGUGAACGUGGAGAGAAGGGGGAGCGAGGAGUUCCUGGCCGGAAAGGCGUGAAGGGCCAGAAGGGAGAGCCGGGCCCACCAGGCCUUGACCAGCCAUGUCCUGUGCAUCUUCUCUUCCACUGACAGCCUAGCCUCUUCUCCAGUCUCCUCAGUAACCACACAGCUCCUUCCUCUUCCACUCCCCCACUUACCUGUUUCACUUCCUGCUGGCGGUAGCUCUUGAAAACCCACCAAGCCUGGUAGUGAAACGCCCACAGUUCAGUUCCUGUCUUCUAGAAAACCGAAAGGGUUUACAUAUCAGGGUCUAUAAGUAAGGUGUGUUCAGAAAGGACAGGCAGAAAGAGCUAGGUCUCCACACUAAGCCAGCCAGAUGUUCGCUCCCAGGCAGGACUCUGAGAAGCAGGCAAACGGGCCCAGUCAGGGACCUUUGCUCAGUCUCCUGGCCUCCAGUGAGUUCCUUCCACCCUCUGUACCUUCCUCUCUUCCCCCCAGGUGGGUCUGGGAUAUUAAUGUGAGGGAUGGGGGGGGGUGGGGGGGGAAGCUUGGAAUCCCAGCAUUCAGGAGCUUGAACAGGGGGAUAGAAAUUUUGAGGCCUCUGCUACAUAGAGAGUCUGUCUCAAACACAGGCAGCCGGGACUAAGGAAAGGCUCGAGUAGUAAAGCGCUUGCCUUACAUGUCUGAGUUCAUAUUCCCAGAACCCACAUGGAAAGUUAGGCAUGGUGACGUGUGCUGUUGUGGUAGAGACAGUUAAAUCUCUGGAGCCCGCUGGCCAGCUAGCCUCACUUCCAUGCCAAAGUUCCAGGCUAAUUGACACCUUGUCUCAAACAAAAGUUAGAAGUUGCCUGAGGGCCUGAUUUCCACACUCAUGUAUACACACACACACACACACACACAGAGAGAGAGAGAGAGACAGAGACAGAGACAGAGACAGAGACAGAGACAGAGAAGAUGAAGAAGCCAGUCCUGCUUCCACAGAGCCUGGACCCAGACUUCCUCCAAGGCCCCGAUGGGUUGCCUGUGCCUGGUUGCUGGCAUAAGUGAUCCUCAGACAUAACCCCUGACCUGUACAGAUCCGUUUGGAUGUUUUGAACUCAUGUAAAAACAAAACAGUAAUAUAUUGAACUUCUUUAUGGGAUGCGCCAACUGUGGCCAUGUAACAUUUGCAAGUGUGCCAACCAGCCCCUGGACAAUCUGCACAGGAAGCCAGCAGGAAUGCGGACAGGCUGCUCUGAGGAAACUUCUGUUCAAAGGCCCUGGGUAGGGCCUGGCUUUCCCAGGGAAGAUGACGAGGGUGAAAACGCCUGGCUCAGGUGAGGCUGGACAGACUCCAGGUUGGGCUCAUAAUCACCUGAUUAGCAGAGACUUGCAACAACUGUUUCCUGAAACCCCACUGCCCCAGCUUCUCACUGUCCAAUAGCACCCCCUUGGACAACUGCUGUAGCCUCUUGCUUCGGGACUGUGCCGUAGGCAGCUGCACUGGGGCCCUAUGUUCAACAGGGCCAGCAAAGAUUCCUAGAGUCCAGCACUUGGGGAGAAGGCAAUGGGAAGAACCCGAAGAGGGCCUUGCUCCACCCAAGUUCAGCACGCUUCCAGAAGCCACCCUGACACGGGAGCUUGUAUUCUCGGACCUUGGGAAACAGCAGGCUCUGUGGAUACCUCAGUGUAAAGCCAGCUUCCGACAGCCCAGUGAACCCUAAUGGUAAGAUGAAGAGACCCAUACCUACUACUUACUACUUCCAGUCUCCUUACCGCCUCUCCCAGAGCAGGAACUGGAAAGGACUUUGUCAGCCUGGAGGAGACAGGCCUCUUGUUCAGAACUUGUGUCUCAAGUCUCCCACCUAGACCUCUGGUCAGCCUGACAAAAACAGGCCUCCUUAGUAAAUGGUACGGACACCAUGAACCUGAAGGCUGAUCCCCCAGCAAGCCUGAGCAAAACACCUGUGACAGAAACCCCUGCCCUCUCUGGGGGGGAUUGGGGCUUGAACACUUCUAAUGAAGGUUCCUAGCUCCUGCUCCAUUCAUGGCUUCACAGCCCUCCUCAUGUAAAGGCGCCAUGAGUAAUAAACCACAAAUGUGUGUCUGGUGUGCCUGUCGCUUACAGACUUCCCUGGUCACCUCUGGGUGAGUUUUAUUCCGAUGGUUACUAGCUGAAGAAGCAAAGGGGCUCUCCUUGGGGGUCAGAACCUUCCUCUAAAUCAGGGGAUAUAUUCAGGGUAGGAGAUAAGAAGAUACAGGCUCAAGAUCUGAACCCACACAUGCCAGCAGAAUCCUGGGACUGGCCACAUCCUGUCACUGAGUCCUCUGUAUCCCCUUUUGUUAUGCUCAGCAAAGACACCCCAAAUUUGUUGCCUCAAAAUGUCCAUUCUCUCAGUUCUAAGGGCUCAGGGGCUUGCCUGAAUAGGCCUCAAGUGGAUUCCCCCUCAUCUGUCUGUCAGCUAGGAUCCAAUGACAAUGACACCUACCAACCUGUGACUUUUCUGCAUGGCCUGGACUUCCUCACAGCAUGGCAGCAGGAUUCCUAGAAAGCUGUGUCACCUCAUAUGACCAAGCCUUCAGAGUCACAUGCUGCCACUUCCUGCCAGAGCCAGAAAUUUACCCCACUUGAAUUAGAAGACAGACCCACCUCUCAAUGAGGAAAGUAUCAACGUCAUGUUUAAAUGAGAAAAUAUGGGAGAGUACAUUUCGUUGUAGCCCUCAAAAACAAAAUAAAAUAAAAUUAGCUCUCUUGUAGCCCAGGCUAGCACUGAACUCACUAUGUAGUUCAGGAUGACCUUAAAGUUCUGGCCCUCUACUCCUUGCUCUAUCUGCUCCAGUUACAGUUGUGCACCACUGUGCCUGACUUCUACAGUGCUGGGAUUCAAACCUAAGGCUUUAUGCCUGUUAACAUAAGCACUUAACCAAAAAAGCUACAAUCUUAGCCCUUGUUACGGCAUCUUAAAUAACACCACUCAUCUGUAGCAUGAGACAGUAAUGCUCAAAAUUCAGGUGUGGUUCAGUAAGAUUCAGCUCUGUGGAAUAUACACAGAGAGCCUAGGACAGAUCAGACACCUCACUGUACCUGUGGCUGGCUGUCCUCGCUCUAUCUGCUCCAAGACCAAAUAGUAAUCACGGUCCUGCAGAGUGGGCCCAUGUCUCCCCCUAACUUGUCCUUACAGCAAACUGAAGAAAGAUGCCCAACAAAUGUGCCCAUUUUCAUAGAUGACAAAACCAAGCUCUUUCCCUGUGUGUAGAAAAGACAGGAGCGUCAAUGACAGUGUCUCUGUCCCCUUCCUCCAAGGGCAGAGAUCCAAGGAGGGCCACACUCCCCAGACUGUACACAUGCAUUCCUUGCUAAGCAGAGGCCCAGCCACACACAGCUGAUGUCAAGUCCCUACCUCUGUCCCCCUGAGGAGCUGGCAAAAAGCAGCAGACCAUGUUCUCUGCCACACUGGGUCAACUAGGAAACCAGAUAAAAGAAAAAGAAAAAGAAAACAGAUGUAGUGGACCAAGAUGACUAAGGUGGCUCACUGGUAACAAUGCCUGCUUUGGAGAUGUGACAUAGCCUCCCAAGCCCACCACAGCCUACAGUCAACAAAGCACUCCUCCUUCAUCCUAAGAACAACAUCGUUAGGGCUGCAGGGGUAGGUGUCACUGUGUCCAUUUUACAUAUAGGAAAUCUGAGGCUCACAGUGCAUAGUUAUCUGCUUAGAGAUACACAGACAGGCGAGAGUGACAGGCUUGGGACUGAACCCGUGCUCUCGGAGGUCCCCUAAUUUUUCUUCAGGGUUGUUUGGCAACAUAUGGAAUCUGCUAGGCAGACCCCUGACGAUGGGUGGACAGCACGCAGAGCUUUCUAGAGGCUGACGCCCCAAACUCUCCCUUUCACCUCAGGCUGCCCUGGGCCAUUCUUGGCCCAUUACUGCCCCCGUGUGGACUCAUACCUUGUAUCCUUGCAAAUGGACAUGCAGAGCCAUGGAGUGUCCUGUGCCAGCCUGAAGUGAGGACAGAGAGAAUGAGUUGUUCAAGGUCCCAAGUGAGACGCUGGGGAGUGCCCUGCCUCAACAAUGAGGCUCAAGGACUGAGAGGAGGCCUUGGUUCUCCCUACCAAGAAGGCCAGUUCUCUUUGUAAUUAUUUGUAAGUCAAAUAAUUCUGGAAGGGAGGUAUCUGUUUAUUGAGUCCUUGACUAUCCUGUGUUCCAUGCCGCUAAAGAAACCAACGAGAUGACUGUCCCCAUGGACAGAUGGCUCUGAGGCUUGAGA